AUGGAAUCCUUCGCCGAAAUCCUGAAGCCCUCCCCCGUUGACUGGUGGAGUCAUCAAUAAAAAACGAUAGACGAGCAAUAACUCGUCAUCAUAGACGCGACGACUAUUUUCGCAUCUAAUUGUAAAAGCAGCGUCAUUUGUCGCGACAACGUGGCAAUAAGGGGCGCGGCGCCCAAUGGCGCACACUUGGCCCGUUGGCAAAGCAAAUCAAAGUUCUGCGUAUCCGCAUCCGUUGUCCUGCACAAACUGCGCCACUGUCUGUGCUCGUCCUGUCGCAUGUUGUCGAAGACCAGGCGGCGGACGACGCCACAAUCGUCGGCUAAGUCUAGUCUACUCUGGAUACUGGAAAGUGACUGUGUGCGUGGGUUUCCCCUCCCAUCCGCC
rnacentral:lncRNA from 1 species